GGAUCCAGACUUUGAUUCUGGCUCAGGAUGAACGCUAGCUACAGGCUUAACACAUGCAAGUCGAGGGGAAACGGCAUUAAGUGCUUGCACUUUUUGGACGUCGACCGGCGCACGGGUGAGUAACGCGUAUCCAACCUGCCCCUUACCAGGGAAUAACCCGUUGAAAGACGGACUAAUGCCCUAUGCAGUCCUUUGACGGCAUCAGAUUAGGACUAAAGAUUCAUCGGUAUGGGAUGGGGAUGCGUCUGAUUAGCUUGUUGGCGGGGUAACGGCCCACCAAGGCAUCGAUCAGUAGGGGUUCUGAGAGGAAGGUCCCCCCCAUAGGAACUGAGACACGGUCCUAACUCCUACGGGAGGCAGCAGUGAGGAAUAUUGGUCAAUGGGCGCUAGCCUGAACCAGCCAAGUAGCGUGCAGGACGACGGCCCUAUGGGUUGUAAACUGCUUUUAUGCGGGGAUAAAGUCACCCACGUGUGGGUGUUUGCAGGUACCGCAUGAAUAAGGACCGGCUAAUUCCGUGCCAGCAGCCGCGGUAAUACGGAAGGUCCGGGCGUUAUCCGGAUUUAUUGGGUUUAAAGGGAGUGUAGGCGGCCUGUUAAGCGUGUUGUGAAAUGUAGAUGCUCAACAUCUGAACUGCAGCGCGAACUGGCUGGCUUGAGUACACGCAACGUGGGCGGAAUUCAUGGUGUAGCGGUGAAAUGCUUAGAUAUCAUGAGGAACUCCAAUUGCGAAGGCAGCUCACGGGAGUGUCACUGACGCUUAAGCUCGAAGGUGGCGGGUAUCAAACAGGAUUAGAUACCCUGGUAGUCCGCACGGUAAACGAUGGAUGCCCGCUGUUGGCGCUUU
rnacentral:rRNA from 1 species